CCAGACUCCUACGGGAGGCAGCAGUGGGGGAUAUUGCACAAUGGGGGAAACCCUGAUGCAGCGACGCCGCGUGGGUGAAGAAGCGCCUCGGCGCGUAAAGCCCUGUCAGCAGGGAAGAAAAUGACGGUACCUGAAGAAGAAGCCCCGGCUAACUACGUGCCAGCAGCCGCGGUAAUACGUAGGGGGCAAGCGUUAUCCGGAUUUACUGGGUGUAAAGGGAGCGUAGACGGACUUGCAAGUCUGAUGUGAAAAUCCGGGGCCCAACCCCGGAACUGCAUUGGAAACUGUAUAUCUAGAGUGUCGGAGAGGCAAGUGGAAUUCCUGGUGUAGCGGUGAAAUGCGUAGAUAUCAGGAGGAACACCAGUGGCGAAGGCGGCUUGCUGGACUGUAACUGACGUUGAGGCUCGAAAGCGUGGGGAGCGAACAGGAUUAGAUACCCGGGUAAC
rnacentral:rRNA from 1 species